AUUGAACGCUGGCGGCAGGCCUAACACAUGCAAGUCGAGCGAGCGGCGGACGGGUGAGUAAUGUAUGGGGACUGCCCGAUAGAGGGGGGUAACUAAUGGAAACGGUGGCUAAUACCGCAUACUAUCGGAUAACCCAUAUGGGAUUAGCUAGUAGGUGGGGUAAAGGCGCACCUAGGCGACCAUCUCUGGCUGGUCUGAGAGGAUGAUCAGCCACACUGAGACUGAGACACGGCCCAGACUCCAACGGAGGCAGCAGUGGGGAAUUUUGCACAAUGGGCGCAAGCCUGAUGCAGCCAUGCCGCGUGUAUGAAGAAGGCCUUAGGGUUGUAAAGUACUUUCAGCGGGGAGGCGUUACCCGCAGAAGAAGCACCGGCUAACUCCGUGCCAGCAGCCGCGGUAAUUC
rnacentral:rRNA from 1 species